rnacentral:rRNA from 1 species
AAUAGAUACCCGGGUAGUCCACGCCGUAAACGAUGAGUGCUAGGUGUUGGGGGUCAAACCUCGGUGCCGCAGCUAACGCAUUAAGCACUCCGCCUGGGGAGUACGUACGCAAGUAUGAAACUCAAAGGAAUUGACGGGGACCCGCACAAGCAGCGGAGCAUGUGGUUUAACUCGAAGCAACGCGAAGAACCUUACCAGGGCUUGACAUGCCCCUGACCGCAUUAGAGAUAAUGCCUUACCUUCGGGUACAGGGGACACAGGUGGUGCAUGGUUGUCGUCAGCUCGUGUCGUGAGAUGUUGGGUUAAGUCCCGCAACGAGCGCAACCCUUGCCUUUAGUUGCUAACAGUAUGGCUGAGCACUCUAGAGGGACUGCCGAUGAUAAAUCGGAGGAAGGUGGGGAUGACGUCAAAUCAUCAUGCCCUUUAUGUCCUGGGCUACACACGUGCUACAAUGGUCGGUACAACGAGUAGCAACCUAGCGAUAGGAAGCCAAUCUCUUAAAAGCCGAUCCCAGUUCGGAUUGC